UUUUUUCAAGCAGAAGACGGCAUACGAGAUAAAGGAAUGUGACUGGAGUUCAGACGUGUGCUCUUCCGAUCUAACACACUUGCUGUGGGAGCUUUUGGGGGUGGCACAGACCAGGGGGUAGCGACUGUUUACCAAAAACACAGGUGCAUGCGAAGGCGCAAGCCGCUGUAUAUGCACUGACGCCUGCCCGGUGCCGGAAGGUUAAGAGGAUCCGUCAGCCUUCGGGUGAAGCGGUGAAUUCAAGCCCCGGUAAACGGCGGUGGUAACUAUAACCAUCCUAAGGUAGCGAAAUUCCUUGUCGGGUAAGUUCCGACCUGCACGAAUGGCGUAACGACUUCCCCACUGUCUCGACCAGGAGCUCGGCGAAAUUGCAGUACGAGUAAAGAUGCUCGUUAAGCGCAGAAGGACGAAAAGACCCCGGGACCUUUACUAUACCUUGGUAUUGGCGUUAGGCGCGGAUUGUGUAGCAUAGGCGGGAGGCUUCGAGGCGGGUGCGCCAGCAUCCGCGGAGCCGCAAGGUGAAAUACCGCUCUGUUCUCGUUUGACGUCUAACCUCGAACAGUCAUCCUGUUCAGGGACAGUGCCUGGCGGGUAGUUUAACUGGGGCGGUUGCCUCCCAAAGAGUAACGGAGGCGCCCAAAGGUCCGCUCAGCCCGGUUGGCAAUCGGGUGGCGAGUGCAAGUGCACAAGCGGGCUUGACUGCGAGGACGACGGUCCGAGCAGGGACGAAAGUCGGGACUAGUGAUCCGGUGCCGGUGUACGGACGCGGCAUCGCUCAACGGAUAAAAGGUACCCCGGGGAUAACAGGCUGAUCAUUCCCAAGAGUCCAUAUCGACGGGAUGGUUUGGCACCUCGAUGUCGGCUCGUCGCAUCCUGGGGCUGGAGCAGGUCCCAAGGGUUCGGCUGUUCGCCGAUUAAAGCGGCACGCGAGCUGGGUUCAGAACGUCGUGAGACAGUUUGGUCUCUAUCCUCUGCGCUCGUUGGAAUGCUGAGGAGGCCUGCCCAUAGUACGAGAGGACCUGGGUGGACGAACCUCUGGUAUGCCGGUUGUCACGCCAGUGGCACGGCCGGUUGGCUACGUUCGGAAGGGAUAACCGCUGAAAGCAUCUAAGCGGGAAGCCUGCUCCAAGAUAAGCAUUCCGUGGAACCUUCGAGUUCCUGUAGUCCCCAUGCAGAACACGUGGUCGAUAGGCCGGACGUGGAAGCCCCGCGAGGGGUGGAGCCGACCGGUACUAACGGACGAAAGGCAACACUAA
rnacentral:rRNA from 1 species